AACUCUCAAUUUCUCUGUAAACUUUGCUAGAUUUCUCUCAUCUUGAGAGCUGGCUUAUCGUUUGGGUGUUUUCUAUGAACAUCGAUUCGAUUGUUACUGGUUACGGAGUUUAAUCUGAGUUUCUUAUUAUUCAUUGGAGUGAUCGGAGGUUUCGCUGUAUCAUUCAGACAAGUAUCCAUGUUUCUCUUGUUGGUAAGAGUUACAAUUCCAUCUUUUUGCUUCUUGUUUGUCAUUUAAACUAAUGAAAAAGCCAAAAAGUUUUAAUCUGCCAAAAGAAAAAGUUUUCUUGUGUUUGCGUAUUUUCUGUUCGUUUCAGUCACUGAGGUCAACAUAACAGUUCCAGUUUUUGUCGAUUCUGGUUCAGUCAUGCAAAUGUGUGACAAAGAUGGUUUUUAAUUUUCUAGUUAAAUUUUGAGGUAUGGUUUCCCUGAAUCAUUACAUAACUGAAGAGAUUGUGGUUUGUGAAAUCUUACAGGGGAUGCUGCAAGCACUUCUUGAAAAAUGGUUCAAAAUUACAGAAACUCUGUUUAUCCAAGACCACAAACUUAUAGUUCUUGUUACUGUGUAAUUUGGUUAUAUGUUGUAGAUCAACAAAAUCUUUUUACGUGAGUAAUAUCCAACA